rnacentral:rRNA from 1 species
UACGGAGGGUGCAAGCGUUAUCCGGAUUUACUGGGUUUAAAGGGUGCGUAGGUGGGUAGGAAAGUCAGUGGUGAAAUCUUCGGGCUUAACCCGGAAACUGCCAUUGAUACUAUUUAUCUUGAAUACUUUGGAGGUAAGCGGAAUAUGUCAUGUAGCGGUGAAAUGCUUAGAUAUGACAUAGAACACCAAUUGCGAAGGCAGCUUACUACACAGUUAUUGACACUGAGACGCGAAAGCGUGGGGAGCGAACAGG